rnacentral:rRNA from 1 species
UCGAGAGGCUUCGGCAAUGGGGGAAACCCUGACCGAGCGACGCCGCGUGAGGGAUGAAGGCCCUUGGGUUGUAAACCUCUUUUGUUCGGGAAGAAAUGCGAUCAGGUGAAUAAUCUGGUCGUUUGACGGUACCGGACGAAUAAGCUCCGGCUAACUCCGUGCCAGCAGCCGCGGUAAUACGGGGGGAGCAAGCGUUGUUCGGAAUCACUGGGCGUAAAGGGAGUCUAGGCGGUCAGGUAAGUGGGACGUGAAAUGCCUCGGCUCACCCGAGGACCUGCGUCCCAAACUGCUUGGCUUGAGUAUGGGAGAGGAUGUGGGAAUUCCUGGUGUAGCGGUGAAAUGCGUAGAUAUCAGGAGGAACACCGGUGGCGAAGGCGCACAUCUGGCCCAAUACUGACGCUGAAGCUCGAAAGCUAGGGGAGCAAACGGG